GACGCUGGCGGCCUGNCUAACACAUGCAAGUCGAACGGAAACGANGGGAGCUUGCUCCCAGGCGUCGAGUGGCGGACGGGUGAGUAAUACUUAGGAAUCUACCCAGUAGCGGGGGACAACUCGAGGAAACUCGAGCUAAUACCGCAUACGCCCUACGGGGGAAAGCAGGGGAUCUUCGGACCUUGCACUAUUGGAUGAGCCUAAGUCGGAUUAGCUUGUUGGUGAGGUAAAGGCUCACCAAGGCGACGAUCCGUAGCUGGUCUGAGAGGACGAUCACCCACACUGGGACUGAGACACGGCCCANACUCCUACGGGAGGCAGCAGUGGGGAAUAUUGGACAAUGGGGGCAACCCUGAUCCANCAAUGCCGCGUGUGUGAANAANGCCUGCGGGUUGUAAACACUUUCANUANAAAANAAAACCUACNGUUAAUACCNUNANUCUUGACNUUCCUACANAAAANCUCNCUACUCCUNCCNCACCCGUAUUC
rnacentral:rRNA from 1 species